rnacentral:lncRNA from 1 species
UCGAGACUCUUUUCCUCUAAUAUGAUCAACAUUCUCGAUAUUUCUCUUUAUUCUUCAAACACGGCAAAAACAUGAGAGAUCUAGAAAAGGAAUCAUUGAGUAACUUUGCAUGCAUAUUUGGUUUUAGAAAUUGGAGAAAGGAAACACAUGUCCGAAUUUUAAAACUCUAAUGAAACCCAAGCUUAAGAGAGAGAAAGGUCGAAUUGAAAAUAUAAAAUAAGGCAAAAUGUAUAUUAACAUCUUGCUUAAAUCUUCAAGACUUAAGCAAAAGUUUGGAUCCACUAAAAUCCUAAUUACUUAUUUUAGGAUUUAAAAGGUUUUUCCAGCAUUUAAAGGGAUUGUUCAGGUCCUAAUAUCCUAACUACUUAUUUUAUUUGGAUUCUAGAAUCUGAAUUGAUAAAAAUCAUCUUAAAAAAGAAAUAGUUAGCCACAACUAAACCGUUGACAAAAUAACCGUGCCUAAAUUUUUGGAGGACAUAUGAGAAGAAUUGAGAGUGUUAUAAGAAAUUAUCUAUUUUGUUUCGGCUAAGGUGCCCAAAUUAAGAGAAAUAGCUAAUGGAUUGCCCAUUGAAUAGCCCAAUAUGCUUUAUCUGACCCAAAUAGAUUUGAUUAUUAUUUUUCUCACCCCAUAAGCUUCUUGUGCGCCCUAUUUUUUAAUUGUUAGGAUUAUAUAAUCUGGACAGUUUAUUAACUGUUAGGAUUAUAUAAUUCGAAAUAUGUGUAUUUGUACUCUACAGUUUGCCUCUGACGUAGUCUUCAGAAGGUUUAAGACAAUUCGAAUUAUAUAAUCCAAAUAUUUUUCAAAGCGUAUGUUUUAUUGAGACAUGUACAAACAUCCACAUGAUGUUUUGUCUUCCAUCAGUUUUUAUCCAAUUCGGAUUAUAGAAGACGAAACAUUGUUUGGAUUAUAUAAUUACCGUUUCAAGGUAAUUACUCUUUAGACAUUUAAUAAUUGCUCACAUGCACCUCAAAAUACAAAAAAUACAUCCAAUUACAAAUAAUUACUGCUUAGGAGACUUUUUAAAUCGGUUGCACGUAUUUAAAAAGGGUUGAGCAACAAUUAACUACCGUUUUGAAGCGGACACCAAUUAGUUGUUAUUUAGCGAAUGGUAAUUGUCGAAUGUAAGAAAUUGACGAGUGCUUAAAUGGAAAUCUUCAAUGAAGUUUAGAGAUCUGGGUUUUGUGGCUCCUCAAUGGCAGGGUAUGCUUCAAGGUUCGAAGAGGAUUUACAGAAGUACUCCCUCCAUUACUUUUUAAGUGUUUUUUUGUUAGAAAAUUAACACCAAAAUAAUGAUGUGUAUUUUUGCACAUUUUCUUCAUAUUAUACACUCAUUUUAAUCCACCAAUAAAUUCAUAUUUUUUUAACACACUUUAUUUUUUCAAUAUAUUUAAUAUGUUAUCUUUCUCUGGUAACAAACUAUUGUCGGUUAUUAUCUUUUUCUUCAACAAAUUCCUAUUUGUUUGCGCACUCUUUCUCUCAAAACAAACAAUUAUCAAUUUUCUAAAUAUUGUGCACAUCUUUUUAAUUAUUUUAAGUCAAUAUAAAAAUUAUAUUGAUGAAACUUCUUUUUCAUUGUCAUCUUGUUCUUGUAUCUUGUCAAAUGAGUCUUCAACCAUUGCUCCCUCUUCACCUCUCAUCAACAAUUCUAACGAGUGUUCCACUUUUUAUUCCUUUUGAACAUUCACGGAGUCUUUUAUUUAUUUUUUCUUUCAAAUAUGUUUUUUAGUUUGCAUUUGAAAUUUUUAACAACUGUUAUUCAUUUUUUUUUUAUAGAAUUUUAACUCUUCUUGAUACCAUUGAUUGUAAAAAAAUUGUUUAAAUUUGAAGAUAACAAGAAACGAAUUUUGUUUAAAAAAAAACUGUAGUUUUUCAAAUAGAUAGCAUUAAUUAGUUUUAUUGAAAAAUAUAAGAGUAAUUGACAAAGCGUAUAAUUGAUAAAUUGUACCAUUAAAAUAUCAAAAACACCGUUAAAUAGGAACGCAAAAUUUACACUAAAAAGACACUUACAAAGGAAUUGAUAGAGUACGUACAAAUCACCCAUCAAAGAGACACUCACAUUGAGAAUGGAAGUUGACCCCAUAAUCCAACCUUAUAAAUAAGUCAACUUUUUACCAACUAACUGAACAUUCAGGACAUAAAUAAUCCUUCUUGGACAGGAUCAUAUGAAUUCCUCCGUUUAAUAUAUUCUCCUUUUUUCUUAAUAAAAAAAGUUUACAUUUAAAAAAAGUUAUUGGAGAUAUGAAUAUAUUAAAUUUGAUACUUUUUUUUAAGGAUGAAAUUUGAUACCUAUUAUUAUCGACCAAUCAUGAUCGAUUUGUUUAAUUUAAAAUCAAUCAAGAUUUUUUUAAGGGAAUACCAAUCAACAUUUUAUUAAUAAAAAAAUAGAUUUGGUUAAAAUCACGAUCACAUAGUAUAUCCUAAAUUGAAAGAAACAAACAUGUAACUAAACAUUUUAUAACAUAAAAUAUCUUCCAUUAAUGUGGUAAUUCUUUCCCAGACAAAAGAAAUUUGAUGAUUUCAUUUUUUAUUGCUUAGAAUCGGCAAGUCCCAAAACAAAUAUAUUUUAUCCUUGUAAUAUUCUCAUUUCAUCUAAAAUUUUUAUCCAAAAUUACAAAACACAACUUUAACUAAAAAAAAAUGGUAGAGAAAAGUGAAUAAAAGGAAAAAGAAAAAGUGUAGAGAAGGACGAAGGAGUAAAAGAAAAGAUAUCACAAAAAAGGACAAACAAUUAACUAAAGAAUAGCAACAAUGGGGUCACGAGCCUAGAAAAAUAAUAUCACAAAAAAACAAAAAAUAGAACAAAAUAAACAAAAAAUUAUUAAAUAUAAAAAAGAAUCAAAGUAUAAUAAAAUUCACACUUCCACUCUCUUUUGUAUCUAUCUCUCUCUUCUCUCUCUCUCUCUCUCUCUCUCUCUCUCUCUCUACACUCUGGCAUUUUCUGAGUUUCGCUUUCAUCCUCUCUGUCUUCGAGUUUCGCCACGAUGCACAGACAAUCGUUAGGUUCACCUUCUUCCAAGCUCCAUCUUCAUGGAGGAGUCGUUAACGGCGGUGACACUAUCAUCGCCGAUGAACCACCGAAACCUCACCGUCUCUCUUCACCUCCUUCACCACCGAACAAAUUCAUUCACCUCAUUCCAAUUCUCACUCUCUUCUGCUUCUUCAUUCUUUACUUCUUCUCUCACACUCCUUCACCUUCAGAACUAACUCAUUUCAACGGAUUCACUGCAUUCAAACGCUCGAAUAAUCAUAAUCUAGGUAAAAAUACAACAAUGCAAAUUGAAAAUUAAUUUCGUCGUUAUUGAUUAAUUUGUGAAUUUUUUGCUAAUUUUUUUGUUGGAUCUGUUUUAGCGGCGGAGAUAAAUGGUGACAUUGGAGUACAUUACGAUGAUGCGAAAAGAAGUGAUGUGUUGGCGAUUCGAAGUUUGCAACAGAUACCGAAAUCUCAACUUCACAGAAAACUCGCCGAUUUUUAAGCUAAACUCUUCACACGUGUGGUUUCUUCCUUCUCUUCUUUCAUCUCUUACCCCUUCCAUUCUAUAUAUUCUUGCUCCACUUGUAUUGUACUAUUAUUGUAUAUCUAAAAUUAUUUUAGAUUUUGUGUUCGCUCAAGAAGAAAAGAAAGUGAAUAAAAAUUGAUCUCAUAUAUCAUAGGAAAUAAUUUGCAUUGUAAUAGUUAAUCUUGUUCAAUUACUAAAUAGUUGUUUGGUAUCAUCUGGAUUUGUCGGAUUUCAUAGUCAUAAUAUAAUAUGAUUUCGCAUGAACUGGGACGCGCAACUCUGCGUAGUGACUUCUAAUAUUUAGUUUGAUAAACAUUAAACAUCAUUUUGCAGAGUUUUGCAAUCGCUUAUGCAAAAUCACUGUAAUUCGAGGCAUAUUUUGACAAAUUCACAGUGAUACCAAACAACUGCUAAGAAUUGGCGUAGGAUAACCGUGGGUGCGCAGGUGAUGGAAUACAGCUGGAUUCUAUGACCGUUACUGCACCUCGAGCUGCGGUUAAAGAGUGCCAGCUGGAAAUUGUGUUUUAAUUCUUGCUGUCUCUGUGAGAAACAGAACGGGGUUCUGACGGCGUCACCGCUGAGUGGUGUUACACGUGGAGUCGUUUGAGCUAGGGAAACGGAACGGGACGGAAAAUGGAUGGUGUAAAUAAAAAGUGUCGGUGUUAGAAGUUUAAUGAAACGGUGUCGUUGUUGAAGAACUAUUCGGAAUGAAUGAGCAAUUAACUUAGUUGGGCCAUAAUCCAGUGUAGUUAAUGGUGCUAUUUAUUAUGGUAGGUCAUACGUGGGACAUUUAAUUUUAUUAUUUUCGAUUGGUUGGUCCCUAAUCAUGUUCAAUGAUGAUCAAGCAAUAGAAUAAAAAUUAUCACGACAAAAAGAAGAAGCAAUAGAAUAAGGAUAAUGAUAUAUAUAAACG